UACGGAGGGUGCGAGCGUUGUCCGGAAUCAUUGGGCGUAAAGGGCGCGUAGGCGGCCCGGCAAGCGUGCGGUGAAAGCUCGGGGCUCAACCCCGAGUCGGCCGUGCGAACUGCGGGGCUGGAGCACUGUAGAGGCAGGCGGAAUUCCGGGUGUAGCGGUGGAAUGCGUAGAGAUCCGGAAGAACACCGGUGGCGAAGGCGGCCUGCUGGGCAGUUGCUGACACUGAGGCGCGACAGCGUGGGGAGCAAACAGG
rnacentral:rRNA from 1 species